rnacentral:rRNA from 1 species
CGUUGUCCUUGUAACAGGGAUCCAGCAGGGUGGCCACCCAGUAAUCAGCACAAGUUAUAAUGUGGGCAACUCGAAAGUCGUUGCGCAGGAACUUUAGUGACUCUAGAUAACCUCGGCCCGAUCGCACGUCCCCAUGACGGCGAUGACGCAUUCGGCUGUUUGCCCUAUCAACUUUCUAUGGUACUUUCUGUGUCUACCAUGGUGACCACGGGUAAUGGGGAAUCAGGGUUUGAUUCUGGAGAGGGAGCCUGAGAAACGGAUACCACAUCCAAGGAAGGCAGCAGGAGCGCAAAUUACCCACUCCCGGCGCGGGGAGGUAGUGACG